rnacentral:rRNA from 1 species
GAUGAACGCUGGCGGCGUGCUUAACACAUGCAAGUCGAACGAAGCACUUUUUCUUGAUUCUUCGGAUGAAAGAGAUUGUGACUGAGUGGCGGACGGGUGAGUAACACGUGGGUAACCUACCUCAUACAGGGGGAUAACGUAUAGAAAUGUACGCUAAUACCGCAUAAGCCUACAGAAUGGCAUCAUUCAGUAGGAAAAACUCCGGUGGUAUACGAUGGACCCGCGUCUGAUUAGCUAGUUGGUGAGGUAACGGCCCACCAAGGCGACGAUCAGUAGCCGGCCUGAGAGGGUGAACGGCCACAUUGGGACUGAGACACGGCCCAAACUCCUACGGGAGGCAGCAGUGGGGAAUAUUGGACAAUGGGGGAAACCCUGAUCCAGCGACGCCGCGUGAGUGAAGAAGUAUUUCGGUAUGUAAAGCUCUAUCAGCAGGGAAGAAAAUGACGGUACCUGACUAAGAAGCUCCGGCUAAAUACGUG